rnacentral:rRNA from 1 species
UACGAAGGGGGCUAGCGUUGUUCGGAUUUACUGGGCGUAAAGCGCACGUAGGCGGAUCGUUAAGUCGGGGGUGAAAUCCUGGAGCUCAACUCCAGAACUGCCUUCGAUACUGGCGAUCUUGAGUCCGGAAGAGGUGAGUGGAACUCCUAGUGUAGAGGUGGAAUUCGUAGAUAUUAGGAAGAACACCAGUGGCGAAGGCGGCUCACUGGUCCGGUACUGACGCUGAGGUGCGAAAGCGUGGGGAGCAAACAGGAUUGAG